ACUGUUGAACAAACAAUUGUGGAAAAAUAGGAGGACAAAAAAUUCAGGAGUCAAUUUUCGUGGCCUAACAACUUAUAGGUUGCCUUCCCUCGUACCAUGUGAUUAAACAUAAAGCAAGGUGGUUCAACAAGUCUAAAAACAAACAUUCAAAUGAGAUAGCUAAACAAAACACUACCGCUAACUUACAUUUGAGUUACAAAGGCGUUGGCUGCUGCGAUACAAGCAUAGCUAGACAUCCCAACCCCCCCCAUCCCCCUCCUGAACCCCCUGGAGUUUGCCUAAAGAUCCAACAGGUCUGUAGAAGAUGCAGUCAACAUGGCCCUCCACUACAUCCUCCAGUACCGGGACACCUCAGGAACCUAUGCCAGGAUCCUGUCGUGGAUUUCAGCCCUGCCUUUAACACCAUCAUCCCGCUUCUGCUUCAGGGGAAGCUCUCCCAGCCAGGUGUGCGUAACUCCAAUGAACGAUUCAUGAAUGAAGCUCUGAGUCUGGACAUCGUUCACGGUAAUCAACUGCUCGUCACAGCAGGGCCUUUAGCAGAGUUUGACUCGUGGAUAGAUAUUGACAGUUCAAUUUAUGAAUGUAUCCAAGCACUGUUUCUCAAAAAUGACUUCAGUCUGCUGUAGACAGUAUUUUGUUUUGGAAAUAUUUAGACAGGUCUUUUUGCAGUCUAUUUGGAUUACAAAAAAAAUGUGUUUGGGCAAAUCUGCUUACAAUGUAUACUCUGAAACACUAGCAUACCACAGAAAUACCUGUGUAGAAAUAUUUAGUUAGUUUUUUGCAUCUUUUCAGGCAAACAUUGUGUAAGGUGAUUAAACAAUAAAACAAGACCUGAAAAAGAUCCACAAAAUGUUGAAAUGUCACAUUGAAGUGGUCAAAUAGUUGCCUAAGUGUUAUGAUAAUUAUGUAGGACUCUAAAAGCUGUUUUGCUCUUUAUAUUUUAUCUCAGUCAAAAAACCUAGGAAGAGGUGCAGGACUAUUUCUCCAAGUAAUAAUUUGGCGUAAGCUGAUUCACUUCCAAUCUCACUUAUAUAAGAUCAAUAUUUAGCUGGAGCCAAUGGGCCAGGCAGCUUAGCUUAGCUUAGCCCAAAACGUAAAAGAGGGGGAAACGGCUCACAUGGCUCAGUUCAAA